rnacentral:rRNA from 1 species
AUUGAACGCUGGCGGCAGGCCUAACACAUGCAAGUCGAACGAGUGGCGGACGGGUGAGUAAUGUCUGGGAAACUGCCCGAUGGAGGGGGAUAACUACUGGAAACGGUAGCUAAUACCGCAUACCAUCAGAUGUGCCCAGAUGGGAUUAGCUAGUAGGUGGGGUAACGACUCACCUAGGCGACGAUCCCUAGCUGGUCUGAGAGGAUGACCAGCCACACUGGAACUGAGACACGGUCCAUAUUCCUACGGGAGGCAGCAGUGGGGAAUAUUGCACAAUGGGCGCAAGCCUGAUGCAGCCAUGCCGCUUGUAUGAAGAAGGCCUUCGGGUGGUAAAGCACUUUCAGCGAGGAGGCGUGACUCGCAGAAGAAGCACCGGCUAACUCCGUGCCAGCAGCCGCGGUAAUUC